rnacentral:lncRNA from 1 species
CUUAGCACUGACCAGUGGGUGCACCUCUGGUGUCACAUGAGGAGGAGAGGUUGAAGUGUCCUCUCCCACUGAUCUAUCCCACUGAUCUAUCCUAUCAGGCUUGGACUUUAACUGCAAAGUUAUUAGGUCUACACAGAAUGGAUUGUAAGAUACAACAGACUUCUUAUGAUGCAGUUAUGCUUGGAAAUCUUUUCUUCAGGUCUGAAAAUGCGUAGUAAAAUCUGAAUGCUUAUAAUGCAGCUUUUUUACCUAAAAUGUAUACAUGUUGAGAUCCCAUCUGAAUUCAGUCGAGCUGAAAUUUUGAAGGAGGCAAAAAAAUCAAGUUUACCUCACUCUGGAGCUCCAGCAAGGAGGUGAUGCAGACCUUCUAGACAAAUCCCACAGCCACGUGUAAUAUUUUAAAUUAUUUAACUUAGCAAUUUUCUUGUAUUUUUAUUGAACUUAUCAAAAGAAUAAAGAGGCAGAAAAAUGACUUUUGGAUUUUUGAUUUUAAUUAUGUUAGAUUAAAAUGUAGUAAGGGAUACAGGAUUAUCUCCUCCUUUAUAAGGAAGAAAUUUUUACUUUUCAGCCAUUGUCUCUUUCCUUGUCAGCUGCCGUCAGAGUUAUUUGUAAAUCCAGGAACAAACUGAGAAAUGUAUUGCUGUACUUCAUGGACAUCUAAAUGAAGGCCUUGUCUUCUCACGGGUCCAUGAGGUUGCAGCAGAGCCAUGAAACCACAUUUCUACACAGUACAGGCACAGAUCUCAGCUAUAUCAUGUUCCCAACCCUCUCUCUUUGGAAGCCUGAAGAAAUAAAGGUGCUUGCAGCAUGACAGACAGAAAAACUGGUUCAGGCAAGUCAGAAGCUGUGGAAGAAACAGAAAGAGAGAAGUGGAGCCAGAAAGUCUCAAAAAAGGACAUUUUUCACGGAUUUUUUUGGAUGACUGUAUCAGUUUUGAGCACCUUGGAAAAAGCAAUUUUUUUCACUCCUGGCAUAUCGUGUUUGUUCAAAUGGAGCCAUUAAAAGCGUGGGCAUAAUAGUUCGUGAGGCAGCUUGUGACCCAUACUACUUUCUCUUGCCUUCUUCACCCUAGUUAAACUUUAAAAGCUUCCCACAUUAUUCUCAAAUGCUUCUUGCAGGUAAGAUGAUAAAUGCAGCAAAUUGCCUCCUGUUAGCAGGUGAAUUACAGGAUCUCCCUCCUGAAAGAAAUAACAAGCAUUUUCUGUACAGGGCAACAGUUUGUUUUCGUUGAACUUGAAAUGGAAAAUGUGGACAAAUUCUGCAAACUCUUUUGAGAAAAUGAAGAACUGAGUGUUUCUCUCUGUAUGAAGAAAAGCUGUCACACUAUGCCAAGCACACAAGUGAAAAAAUUAGUGAUAAACAGUUAGGACUAUAUCUUCAAGAGAAUUGUAACCAACGUACAUGUAGAAAAUAAAGUAUGAAAAUAUAUAGUGUUACA